UACGUAGGUGGCAAGCGUUGUCCGGAUUUACUGGGCGUAAAGAGCGCGCAGGCGGCCAACUAAGUCGGACGUGAAAUCCCUCGGCUUAACCGGGGAACUGCGUCUGAUACUGGAUGGCUUGAAUCCGGGAGAGGGAUGCGGAAUUCCAGGUGUAGCGGUGAAAUGCGUAGAUAUCUGGAGGAACACCGGUGGCGAAGGCGGCAUCCUGGACCGGCAUUGACGCUGAGGAGCGAAAGCCAGGGGAGCAAACGGG
rnacentral:rRNA from 1 species